CGAAGCGUGCGAUUGGAUUGCACGUCUAAGCAGUAAGGCUGAGUAUUAGGCAAAUCCGGUACUCAUUAAGGCUGAGCUGUGAUGGGGAGAAGACAUUGUGUCUUCGAGUCGUUGAUUUCACACUGCCGAGAAAAGCCUCUAGAUAGAAAAUAGGUGCCCGUACCGCAAACCGACACAGGUAGUCAAGAUGAGAAUUCUAAGGUGAGCGAGCGAACUCUCGUUAAGGAACUCGGCAAAAUGACCCCGUAACUUCGGGAGAAGGGGUGCUCUUUAGGGUUAACGCCCAGAAGAGCCGCAGUGAAUAGGCCCAAGCGACUGUUUAUCAAAAACACAGGUCUCUGCUAAACCGUAAGGUGAUGUAUAGGGGCUGACGCCUGCCCGGUGCUGGAAGGUUAAGAGGAGUGGUUAGCUUCUGCGAAGCUACGAAUCGAAGCCCCAGUAAACGGCGGCCGUAACUAUAACGGUCCUAAGGUAGCGAAAUUCCUUGUCGGGUAAGUUCCGACCCGCACGAAAGGCGUAACGAUUUGGGCACUGUCUCAACGAGAGACUCGGUGAAAUCAUAGUACCUGUGAAGAUGCAGGUUACCCGCGACAGGACGGAAAGACCCCGUGGAGCUUUACUGUAGCCUGAUAUUGAAAUUCGGCACAGCUUGUACAGGAUAGGUAGGAGCCUUUGAAACGUGAGCGCUAGCUUACGUGGAGGCGCUGGUGGGAUACUACCCUAGCUGUGUUGGCUUUCUAACCCGCACCACUUAUCGUGGUGGGAGACAGUGUCAGGCGGGCAGUUUGACUGGGGCGGUCGCCUCCUAAAAGGUAACGGAGGCGCUCAAAGGUUCCCUCAGAAUGGUUGGAAAUCAUUCAUAGAGUGUAAAGGCAUAAGGGAGCUUGACUGCGAGACCUACAAGUCGAGCAGGGUCGAAAGACGGACUUAGUGAUCCGGUGGUUCCGCAUGGAAGGGCCAUCGCUCAACGGAUAAAAGCUACCCCGGGGAUAACAGGCUUAUCUCCCCCAAGAGUUCACAUCGACGGGGAGGUUUGGCACCUCGAUGUCGGCUCAUCGCAUCCUGGGGCUGUAGUCGGUCCCAAGGGUUGGGCUGUUCGCCCAUUAAAGCGGUACGCGAGCUGGGUUCAGAACGUCGUGAGACAGUUCGGUCCCUAUCCGUCGUGGGCGUAGGAAAUUUGAGAGGAGCUGUCCUUAGUACGAGAGGACCGGGAUGGACAUACCUCUGGUGUACCAGUUGUCGUGCCAACGGCAUAGCUGGGUAGCUAUGUGUGGACGGGAUAAGUGCUGAAAGCAUCUAAGCAUGAAGCCCCCCUCAAGAUGAGAUUUCCCAACUUCGGUUAUAAGAUCCCUCAAAGAUGAUGAGGUUAAUAGGUUCGAGGUGGAAGCAUGGUGACAUGUGG
rnacentral:rRNA from 1 species